AGGUUUCCACCUGAGAAGCAGAAGAAAGGAGAGGCAGGGUAGAUUCUCCCUCUCAUUCCCUGCCAGGGUGACAUUCUCCAGCCCCUGAGCGGCGUGUGAACGCUUGGCUAAGCCAGAGCGAGGCAAGAUGAGAGUGCACAAGAUCUCCAACGUCAACAAGGCCCUGGAUUUCAUAGCUAGCAAAGGCGUCAAACUGGUGUCCAUCGGAGCCGAAGAAAUCGUGGAUGGGAAUGUGAAGAUGACCCUGGGCAUGAUCUGGACCAUCAUCCUGCGCUUUGCCAUCCAGGACAUCUCUGUGGAAGAGACUUCAGCUAAGGAAGGGCUGCUCCUGUGGUGUCAGAGAAAGACAGCCCCUUACAAAAACGUCAACAUCCAGAACUUCCACAUAAGCUGGAAGGAUGGCCUCGGCUUCUGUGCCUUGAUUCACCGACACCGGCCCGAGCUGAUUGACUACGGGAAGCUGCGGAAGGAUGAUCCACUCACAAAUCUGAAUACGGCUUUUGACGUGGCAGAGAAGUACCUGGACAUCCCUAAGAUGCUGGAUGCCGAAGACAUCGUUGGAACUGCCCGA
rnacentral:sRNA from 1 species